AUGAAUAACUCAGUAAAAAAAGAAGAUGAUAUUUUGGAAGAAGAAAAAAAAAAAGAAAAAAAUGGGUUACAUGAACAACAUAUAUUUGAUAAAAAUUUAAGCAAAUCGAGCCAAAAUAUUAAGGAAGAUUGUAAAGUUAAUUUCAACAAAUCUCAUACAUUUUAUAAUAAAUUUGAAAAGUUUAAAAAACGUAAUUUUGAUAUCAUAAAAAAAAAUUUGUUAUUAGAACAAAAAAUAAAAGAACUAGAAGAAAAUAAAACAACAAAUUUGAAACAAGAUCAUGAUUAUAACUCUGCUGACCAUGAUAUAAAAUUGGUAUAUACUGCUAAAAAUUAUAUUGAAAAUAUAUUUGAUUUAACAAAUAAAAGACAUCGAAGUAAUUCAGCACAUAGUUAUAAAAAAAAUGUAAGUAGUGGUUUAAACAAUUUAAAUGGUACUAGUUUUAUGAGGAAAAUGCGAAAUUCGAGUAAUAUAAAUAAUGCGCAUAAUUCGCAUAAUUUACAUAAUUUGUAUAAUUCGUACAAUUCGAACAAUGAUGAUAAUUUAGAAAAUUUAACAAACUUAAGUUUUUUUAAAAAUAAAUGUAGUACAAACGAAAAGUUAAAAAGUGGUAAAUACGACGACACUAGUAAUGACUACAAUAGUAAUAGUAAAAAAUGUAACUUCAGUAAUUAUUGCGAAAACAGUAGAGACUAUAGCAUAUUAAACUACAACAGUAUAAACUACAACACUAGUGAUGAGUAUACUGCUAACACUGUUUAUAAUAGGAGUAUAGACUAUACUAAUAGUAAAGAUUACAGUGUUAACAAAAAGGAUAGUACUAAUCAAACCGAAUUUUCUCUUGAUUUUAUUAAUUAUGUAAAAAAAAAUCAAGAUUUGUUUCAUUGUAAUUUAUGCAAACUAAAAUGCACAAUACAUACAUCAGUGUCAUUAUAUAAUAUAAUUAUUUUUUUAAAAAAAACUAAAAGUUAUUUUAUAGAAAUGAUUAACAAAUUAAGUGAUAAAAAAACUAUUAUAAAUGAUAUAGAAAAAUUUUUAAUAUUUAAAAAUGAAAAAACAGAAGAAGCAUUUUUAUGUAAUUUUUAUUCUUCUUAUCCUUAUAAAACUAUAGCAUAUUCUGUUAUAAUGAUUUUAUUAUCACUUAUGUAUUUUUUUAUUUUAUAUUUUUUAGUGUUUAAUAACUAUUAUAUAACAUAUAGAGAUAACCAUUUAUUUUUUUUAAGUGCAUUUGAAUUAUUUGCAAUUGUUUCUUAUUUUUUAUAUUUUAUUAUAUAUAUUACAUUUUUUAGUAAAAGAUAUAUGGAUAAAAUAGGCAUAAGUUUUUAUAGAUCUUUAUAUUUCAUUACACCCUUUGUAUUAUUAUAUACUAUUGUUUUAUUGCAAUAUAUUUCAAAAUAUUCUUCGCCUAGUCUUUAUGAUAGUACUACAUUUGCUUCUUAUAAAAAUCAUCAUCCAAUUACUACUAAUAGUAAUACUAUUGGCAUUAGUAGUGACAUUAGUAGUGACAUUAAUAGUGGCAUUAAUAGUGGAAUUAGUAGUGGCAUUAGUAGGGGCAUUAAUAGUGGCAUUAGUAGUGGCAUUAGUAGGGGUAUUAGUAGUGGUAUUAGUAGUGGCAUUAAUAGUGGCAUUAAUAGUGGCAUUAGUAGUGCCAUUAGUAGUAGUAAUAGUAAUACCCAAUUAAAUGAUAAAUUAUAUGAUAUUAGUAAAUAUAUUACUCAUGAAAAAUAUAUUAUUGCGUUAAGUAAUUUGUAUAUAUGUACAUUUUGUUUUGUAAAAAACUAUAUGAUUCUUUAUAAUUUUUUAUUAAAUUUAAAAUUCUCUUUAUUUUGUAUAAUAUGCAUAUCCUUCUUUUUUUCAUAUUUGUUAUUUCUACUAAUUUUUUAUCACUUGCACCUUCUUCUAAUAAUUUGGUACAAUCUAGUAACAAUUUCAAAUUAUUUAAAAUAUCUUCAAUAGGAGACAUUGGAGUAGAAUUACUGAAUGAAAAAUACUUCGUUAGAUAAAGUUUUAAUUUUUUUUUUUUGUGGUGCUUGUUUAUUCAUGAAUGCUAUUCUUUUUUUUUUUUCAUUAUUAUAUGCGAGAAAUAAAGAUAUAAUAAUAACACA
ensembl:lncRNA